GUAACACGUAUGCAACCUACCCUUUACUGGGGCAUAGCUCAGAGAAAUCUGAAUUAAUUCCCCAUAAUACAAUUGAAUGGCAUCAUUUGAUUAUUAAAGCUGAGGCGGUAAAGGAUGGGCAUGCGUUGCAUUAGCUAGUUGGUGAGGUAAUGGCUCACCAAGGCUACGAUGCAUAGGGGUUCUGAGAGGAUGAUCCCCCACACUGGUACUGAGACACGGACCAGACUCCUACGGGAGGCAGCAGUAGGGAAUAUUGGUCAAUGGACGCAAGUCUGAACCAGCCAUGCCGCGUGCAGGAAGACGGCCCUCUGGGUUGUAAACUGCUUUUAUAUGGGAAGAAACCUCAUUAUGCGUAAUGAACUGACGGUACCAUAUGAAUAAGGAUCGGCUAACUUCGUGCCAGCAGCCGCGGUAAGACGAAGGAUCCAAGCGUUGUCCGGAUUUACUGGGUUUAAAGGGUGCGUAGGCGGAAUUUUAAGUCAGUGGUGAAAGCCCUUCGCUCAACGAAGGAACUGCCAUUGAAACUGAAAUUCUUGAAUACGGUUGAGGUAGGUGGAAUAUAACAUGUAGCGGUGAAAUGCUUAGAUAUGUUAUAGAACACCGAUUGCGAAGGCAGUCUACUAAGCCGUGAUUGACGCUGAGACA
rnacentral:rRNA from 1 species